ACAACUGAAAGUGAGAGAAAAUAGAACUCUGGGGAAAUUAAUACUGCAUUCCUUAUAUCUGGAUCUAUUUUUUCUGCCAUUCCCGUUCAUAAAUGUAUCUAAUCGUAACUUUAAUUAUCUUUACUAUAUUGUCUAUUUGACACGGUUUUAAUUGAACUAGAAAGGAAAAUUCCACUCCCUGUAACUGAACCUACUUCUCUAUCUAUCAUUCCCAUUCACAUAUUUACCUAAUAAUAACUUUCUAAUUAUUGAUGACUAUUUGACACUUGGUAUUUCACUGAUCUACUGUCACUGUUAUCACCGUCCCUAAAUUUAUCGUAUGCUAACUCAAACUUUUACUAAGUCACUUGAUAUUCAACCCUAGACUAAAACUGGAGGCACAAAAAAGGUUUAUCUACUUCAUUCUUUAUGCUUGGAUUUCGUCAUUUAAAAGCGUGUUUAUCCUGAACUUUUACCGCAACAUUCUAUUUAGGAGGAAAAGCCAGAGCAGACAAAGGGUUGAAGCUUCUUAUUGGCUUUGUAAGGAACAUGAUGAGUGAGUGAAAUAUUAAGCAGAAUAACAGGUGCUCAGAUAAGCAUUACUGAAACAGUAAUGUGUCAGGCUCGAUAUAUAUUUGGGUUGGUUUUUAAUAUUUUUCUAAUGAAGGUGUUUGUCAGUUAUUUUUAGACAGGUAGCAGCGAGGCGUUUAUAAUAACCUGAAAAAUGGGCUUGUAAAUAUAUGUUUUUCCAAUGCCUGGAUUAUUGACGGAAAUAUUUUAAUAGCCUGCAGCUUAACCGUUAAUUGCUCUUUUGUAAACAAAGUCCUUCAACUAAUUAUGUUAAUCUCCCUCUCUGGAAAGGAAGCUCUUUUCUGAACCGAUAUUUUUCCAUAUGGACAUACUUUAUAAAGCACCAAUUUCUUUAUACAUGAUGUGUUCACUUUCUUUAUUCAUGUGUUCCUUACAAGCCGAUCUUUUCUCCUUACUAAAGUUUGUUCGUAAGGAAAAUCUUCUAAAUUCGUAGUUUCCAUAAAUUUUCCUUAGAAACACCGUCUUUUCUUUAGCCAUGUAAGUUUCUUCAUAAGCAAAGUCCUGUGAAUACGUAGGAUUUCAUGAAGACGUUGGAAAGACGAAGUUCUUUAUCGUAAAUUAAGUGUAUUUUUCUUAGAACUUUCCUUCACCGACGAGUGUCAGUUUUUGGUAAAGAAAGUCCUGCUUCCACGUGAAUCUUAGCCAGGGAUCAAGGCGAAGCGUAACGACGCCGCGGGUUCGCUGCCAAGAUGAAGAGCAUCGGGGGUGUUGCGGCCAAACGGCGGGGAACCUUCACUCACUCACUGCCUUUAGAGUCUUCCUCCAAUUUUGAGUCAUUGAUCUCCCAGAAUCGAUGAAUUGCAAAGUGUUUACAGUCCUUCAGGAGAUCAGAGGAUGGAAGAUUUAAGAGCUGAAAAGGAGAUGCGGAGAAAUUGGUUCUCAAAUAGCAUGGUGUACGAAUAGAAAAGACUUAGAAAUUAGGUCAGUAGGGAGCUUUAAAAGAAAAUUGGACGGAUUUAUAGAUAGGGAUAACGGCAAUAGACAUAUUUUAUACAGGAACUGCCACAUGUAGACCUGAUUGCCUCUUGUGCUGCUUCCCUUAUUGGAGUUAAUGCCAAGAGCUAAUCGACUUGUGGCUUCCAGUGUAAGACCUUCACUUUCCAACAUCAGGAUGGCGUUGAUGCGUUGCACACUGGGAUUGCCACUUAAAGACUUCAUGGGCUUUUCGCAGCUUCCCAUAUUUUAUGUUAAGUCUAGGAAAAAAAUACAGUAGUAGUUAGUGCUAAAGGACAGUGGACUUCUAAAUCCUACUCCACGACUUUCAACUUCCCAGCAUCAGAAAAGCGUUGAUAUGUUGCAUACAGGGAUUGCCAUUUAUAGAUUUGAUGGCUUCUUGUAGCUUGCCUUAUUAUUUUAUAUUAAGAUUAGGAAAAAAUUACAAUAAGAGUUAAUGCUAAGAAUUAAUCGACUUGUGUCCUUCGUUACAUGACUCACCUCCCAGCAUCAGGAUGGCAACUGUCACUUAUGGACCUAAAAGCUUCUUUGCAGCUUUUCUAAUUUUCACAUGUUCUUAGAUUCGAAAAUAAACACUUGGAAAGUCAGCGCUAAGGAUUAAACUACUACUGGCUACUACAAGACUCCCUUCCCAGCACGAGAGGCGCAGGUAGUCUCCAGCACGCCCUUGAGUAUCGGAAGGAAAACACUGGUAAUGGAUGUGACGCCUGGCUAUUCCUUUGCUGGCUUCAAAUACACAUUUAUCCACGUCACAGGGGGUUCAGGUGGCCCUUCCUUUGCAUAGUGAGGGCGGCGCCGACGGGCAACCCUUUGAGCCGCCACCGCCAGGCCGCGCCACGCAGGGAUGCCGGGAACCCAACAAAUCAAAAGAAAUCGAGCUUGACGGGAAUGCCUGUACAGUUGGAAUUGAUGAGUAAGUGAGUGAGUGAGGGAGUGAGAACUGCACCGAGUGAGUGAGGGAGUGAGAACUGCACCAUCACACAUGCCCAAGGUGUAUCCAGGAGGAGGAGGAGGAAGAAGAAGAAGAAGAAGAAGAAGAAGAAGUAGAAGAGGUGAGGUUUUCGUUGCUGCCGGGCAAGUAGGAAUUGGAAAAGAAGAAGAAGAAGAAGACGAAGAGAAAGAGGAAGAGAGGGAGUCUGUGUGAGGUGGGAGGAAGAGGAGGGAAGACAAUGCAAUUCCCUGCUAAUCCUUUCUCUCCAGUGGUCUCAGUUUUGGAUCGUCUUCAAAGCCUCUUCAACUCUCCUUCACACUCGUCACAAAGGAACCCAGUAACCUAGUCUUGAGAAUCAAUUAGAAUCAUUUUUUCCCUUU